CCUACGGGAGGCAGCAGUGAGGAAUAUUGGUCAAUGGACGAGAGUCUGAACCAGCCAAGUAGCGUGAAGGAUGACUGCCCUAUGGGUUGUAAACUUCUUUUAUAAAGGAAUAAAACGAGGCACGUGUGCCUUUUUGCAUGUACUUUAUGAAUAAGGAUCGGCUAACUACGUGCCAGCAGCCGCGGUAAUACGGAGGAUCCGAGCGUUAUCCGGAUUUAUUGGGUGUAAAGGGAGCGUAGAUGGGUUGUUAAGUCAGUUGUGAAAGUUUGCGGCUCAACCGUAAAAUUGCAAUUGAUACUGGCAGUCUUGAGUACAGUUGAGGUAGGCGGAAUUCGUGGUGUAGCGGUGAAAUGCUUAGAUAUCACGAAGAACCCCGAUGGCGAAGGCAGCUUACUAAACUGUGACUGACAUUGAUGCUCGAAAGUGUGGGUAGCAAACAGGAUUAGAUACCCCAGUAGUC
rnacentral:rRNA from 1 species